AUGAUCUUGUCUUGCUCACACAGGCACCCCAGCUGCUGUAGCCAUCUCUCUGCUCUGCACCCCUGGAGAAAGUUGUCAUGCCCUGGCUGCAACAUGGGCUGCAGAUGGCCCGUCCACUGUCAGCCUCACGGCUGCAUUCUGAGCAGGAAGGAAAAAGAAGAAAUCAACCAUGAGAGGAGGACGGGGCAGUGGCAACGGGAGGACAGACGAGUUUCUGGGGGGGGGGUGCAGAAGACACCACUUUGGCCUCAUGGGCCAGGAUGUGGCCCCAGGACCACCUCUACUCUAGCUGCAAGGGAGGCUGUCUCGAACAUCAUCAUGGUUGGCAAGGAAGAAGGGGAGGUGCAUGACCUUACAACUGGGCUCAUCACAAGAGGGGUUGCAGCUGAAGACACCAGAGUCCUACCAACAGAACUUUUCUUACAACCUGACUUCGGCCAUGUAGCUUUGGUCCUUAACAUCAAAGCAGAGGAAAGCCAGAGGAAGUGACUCAUUUCUGCUUGAAGUAGGUUGCAACCUUCUAAUGAGGAAAGGCAAGAUGCACAUCUCCUUGCUCUGGUGUGUAAAGCCUAUGUAAUUUAGGAUUUUGGACCUGCCUAUUGGAGCUGGAGUGGUUGGGGACAACACUGGUGGCAUCACAGGCCAUGGAUUGUCACAAGAAAGUGAAACCCUGUAAAGAUUAAACAUCAAAACCCUCCCCUCCAGUUUCCUGUGGGAUGUGGAUUAUGGUCAUAGAUGGGCAUAACUGGGGUGGAGCUGGAGAAAAUAUUAUUAAGAAGGCACUUCCAAAUAUUUGUGAGAGCUACCUUCUUUGAAUGGGAACCCAUCCUAUUUCUAUGGUGACCCACUAGGCAUCAAUUCCAAGGAUCCAUAGGUUAGAAGAGUCCUUGUUUUCUCUAUCACCCAGGACUCCAGAGAAGCCCAACAUGCUAACAUUUUCACAUUCCUUUUUUUUUCCCCAUUAGCCUAGAAGUUUCUAAAGGGCAGGAGUCUGUCCUACUCAUCUUUGUCACCUUAGCAAUUGACCCAGAAUACCUGUUCCCUGAAGGCUUGGUGAGUUAUAAACAUGCAUGUCUUAUCUCUUUUGUUUCACAGUAUGAGCUCGAGGUACUGUUACCAGUACUCCAAUGAUCUGUUUGGCAUCUGUCUGCCCUACUAAACUGUGAACUUCCUGAGGGCAGAAUCUAUGUACACCCAAGCUCCCUGUAUUCAAAAUCAUGCCUAAUACAUAGAAAGCAUUCAGUAUGUGUUUGUGGAAUGGCUUAAUGCAUGAGUGAAUGACUCAACCAUAAUGAGACUCCUUAAAUUUGAUUUGUCAAUUAUACCUCAAUAAAGCUGGGUGAAAAAUGAGCCUCCUUGUUUCUGAUCAGUAGAUUCACUGUUUUGCUAUUUUCUUACAGGCUAGAGCUUAGCACCUGGGGCAUCUAAAGUGAUCUGUUAGAUCUAAAGUAACCUAGUACAGUGGCUCUCAAACUUUGGUGUGUAUCAGAAUCAUCUAGAGGCCCAGGAUCUUUGAAGUAGGAUAUGGCCUAGACCUUCGUAGUUUUACCAAGUUCCCCAAGGGUUCUAGUAUCUACCUGAACUAGAGAACCAAUGAUUUUGUGUCAUGCUCUCAGCCUUUUCCAUGCCAUACUAUCCUGGAUGAUACUUAUUCAGCACAGUAAACAAGGUGAAGCUACUUACAGUCAGGAUACUCCGCCACUUGGCCCACCCAGGAUCCUUUCGUUUACUGGGAAUACCAGUUGGAAAACUCUGCCUGACUUUGAUAAUCAAACAGUGGUUGGGGACCUGUAGCUUCAGCCAAGAGCUUGUUUCAAAUGUGAAUCUCAGGCUCUCCCCCACACCCACUGAAGCAGAAACAGCCUUCUAACAAGAUCUCCUGUGGAUUCAUGUGCAUAUCCAAGAUCAAGA
rnacentral:lncRNA from 1 species